GAGCUAAUACCGGAUAAUAUAUUGAACCGCAUGGUUCAAUAGUGAAAGACGGUUUUGCUGUCACUUAUAGAUGGAUCCGCGCCGCAUUAGCUAGUUGGUAAGGUAACGGCUUACCAAGGCAACGAUGCGUAGCCGACCUGAGAGGGUGAUCGGCCACACUGGAACUGAGACACGGUCCAGACUCCUACGGGAGGCAGCAGUAGGGAAUCUUCCGCAAUGGGCGAAAGCCUGACGGAGCAACGC
rnacentral:rRNA from 1 species